GGGUCUGUGGGUGACCUGGACGCCUUUGCUCUGCGACUGGGGUGCCCGAGCCCGUGCAGCCCAUUUACAUGUCCCCGCAUCGUUCACGCGGUGACUGGUUCUCGGCGGGGCGCGGGCACCCGGGGUCCAGGCCUGGCUUUGAGUUCAGCCUCGUUUCCCUGGUGUUGGUUUGUUCUUUUCAGCUCUUGACGGCAGCUCCAGAAUCCUCUCCACAGCACUCAAAUCAAGACGACUCAGUGACAUUCGACUAUCUGAAGAAUCUAAACCUUGGAACACUUCAUUUCAAAGUCCUAACAAGCUUUAAGGAAUAACCAAUAUCCAUAUGAGACUCCCCCCUCUUCUAAGUCCCUUCCUGUGUAGCAUAUCUUUCACCUCGCACCUUCCUGUUUUGUGGGCGCCAGCCAUGUUGUGCAGGGUGGGCUCUGACUCUCAGAGGUUUGCUGAGACAGCACCAGGAAGAUGACUCGUUCUGCAUCUUGUGCUUUUCUGGGUCACCUCCCCUCUCCCUGGAAAUAACUAUUCAGAAAUCAAUGAUUUGCAAACACGUCUGUUGUCAUUUUACAAUGACAGUUCUAUAAAUUUGGAAAUAACUUCUAUCCAAACAUUAAAUCUCAAUUUACUGUG